GUACACGCUGUGACUAGCAUAUCAAUAAGCGGAGGAAAAGAAACUAACAAGGAUUCCCCUAGUAACGGCGAGUGAAGCGGGAAGAGCUCAAAUUUGAAAUCUUAAAGGGUUUCCCUUUACGAAUUGUAGUUUAAAGAAGUGUUUUCUGUUGAGGUUUUGGUAAAAGUUCUUUGGAAUAGGACAUCAUAGAGGGUGAGAAUCCCGUAUUUGACCUUUACUUUCAACUUUGUGAUACACUUUCAAAGAGUCGGAUUGUUUGGGAAUGCAGUCCAAAAUGGGUGGUAAAUUUCAUCUAAAGCUAAAUAUUGGCGAGAGACCGAUAGCGAACAAGUACCGUGAGGGAAAGAUGAAAAGAACUUUGAAAGAGAGUUAAACAGUACGUGAAAUUGUCAAAAGGGAAGCGUUUGACACCAGUGUUGUUUUUCUGAAAAUCAAUUAAAGAACUGUUUAUGCUAAGUUGUUUAGACUUUAUCAGCUAACUGUUUAGUUUUGAGCUUUUCUUUAAUGCACUUUUCAGUUAACAAGUCAACAUCAAUUUCUUUUGCUGUAAAAAAGCUUGAGGAAGGUGGCUUGAGAUUCGUCUUAAGUGUUUAUAGCCUCUUGCCUAUGCAGUCGGAGAGAUUGAGGUCUGCAGCGUAGAUCCUUCGGGGCUAAAUGCAUUUGUGCUAAGUUAUAGCAUUUCAUAGACAACUUGUUGACUAUGAUUUGUCUUGUAGCUUACUCGCUUAUGUUAUUUUACCUACGCUUAGGAUGUUGACAGCAGUAUAGACUGU
rnacentral:rRNA from 1 species